rnacentral:rRNA from 1 species
AUUGAACGCUGGCGGCAGGCUUAACACAUGCAAGUCGAACGAGUGGCGGACGGGUGAGUAAUGCUUUGGAAUCUAGCUUAUGGAGGGGGAUAAAUACGGGAAACUGUAGCUAAUACCGCGUACCAUAGGAUGAGCCCAAGUGGGGUUAGGUAGUGGGUGAGGUAAAGGCUAACCAAGCCGACGAUCUCUAGCUGGUCUGAGAGGAUGACCAGACCCACUCGGACUGAGACACGGCCCAGACCCAUACGGGAGGGCGCAGUGGGGAAUAUUGCGCAAUGGGCGAGAGCCUGAUGCAGCCCUGCCGCGUGGAUGAAGAAGGCCUUCGGGUUGUAAAGUACUUUCAGUCGGGAGGCGUUACCGACAGAAGAAGCACCGGCUAACUCCGUGCCAGCAGCCGCGGUAAUAC